rnacentral:misc_RNA from 1 species
AGCAGCCGCGGUAAUUCCAGCUCCAAUAGCGUAUAUUAAAGUUGUUGCAGUUAAAAAGCUCGUAGUUGAAUUUCGGGGUCAGUAGGUCGGUCGUGCCACUGGUAUGAACUGGUUUUACUGAUUCCUCCCUCUUGAAGAACUGUAAUGCCAUUAAUUUGGUGUUGCAGGGAAUCAGGACUGUUACUUUGAAAAAAUUAGAGUGUUUAAAGCAGGCUUUAGCUUGAAUACAUUAGCAUGGAAUAAUGAAAUAGGACGUUUGAUCCUAUUUUGUUGGUUUCUAGGAUUGACGUAAUGAUUAAUAGGGAUAGUUGGGGGCAUUAGUAUUCAAUUGUCAGAGGUGAAAUUCUUGGAUUUAUUGAAGACUAACUACUGCGAAAGCAUUUGCCAAGGAUGUUUUCAUUAAUCAAGAACGAAAGUUAGGGGAUCGAAGACGAUCAGAUACCGUCCUAGUCUCAACCAUAAACGAUGCCGACCAGGGAUCGGCGGAUGUUGCUUAAAGGACUCCGCCGGCACCUUAUGG